rnacentral:misc_RNA from 1 species
AGGAGGUAAAAAUGCCCA